rnacentral:rRNA from 1 species
CACGUAGGGUGCGAGCGUUGUCCGGAAUUAUUGGGCGUAAAGAGCUCGUAGGCGGUUUGUCGCGUCUGCUGUGAAAACUCGGGGCUUAACUCCGGGCCUGCAGUGGGUACGGGCAGACUAGAGUGCGGUAGGGGAGACUGGAAUUCCUGGUGUAGCGGUGAAAUGCGUAGAGAUGUGGAGGAACACCGAUGGCGAAGGCAGCCCCCUGGGCCAACCACUGACGCUCAGGCACGAAAGCGUGGGGAGCAAACAGG